AUAUAAAGUGUAUAAUGACAAGCACUAUUGCCUCCAUUAACUCUCCAUCUUUAUACCUACCUAUAUAACACUAUAUACUUGCUGCCAUUCUCAAACAUGGUGACAUUGCAGCAAGCACUAAUUAAACAUGAAACCCUUCUCCCUUCUCAUCCUACUUGUAGUCUUUAUUAUUAUUAGUAGCUCAUCUGCAGGUGAGUAAAUUAUAUGAUCUAGCUCCAUUAUUCAACUAUUCAUUUAUAUAUCAUGUUACACAUAAUAUAUGGAUGGUUAAUUAAUUUGUCUCUCUUGUUUGUAGGCCGCACGAAUGACAUUAUUAAAAACGAUGUGAAGCUCACUAGUCCACACGAGGUACGUACGUACUUGUAUAUUGGAACUUAACUUGUGAUAUAUACAAAUCUUUGGAUUAGAAGAAUCAAUGUGAGAAUGGAAUGUCUCAUUUUUAUAUAUGGAAUUUUAGAACACGUACUCUAAUUAAUGUAAUUUACUGAUUAUCAUAUAUCGACCUAUCAGGUGAUUACGAGGAAGAUGAAGGUGAGAAAGCUAGUUAGUAGUGGUGUGGAGGUGCUGGAUUACCACGGAGCGGAAGCCAAUCCGGUGCACGAUCCAGGGAAAGGGAAAAACGGUGGUCGAGCUGCCAACCCUUGAGCCCUUAAUUAAUUUUUUAUAUAUAUAUAUAUAUAUAUAUAUAUAUGUGUGUGUGUGUGUGUGUGUGUGUGUUCUUUCAUUAUACAAAAUAAAACAAGGGGACGGCCAUAUAUGUAAGAAGAUAGACAGCUAGAGUGCCUACAAUUACAUAUGUUUGUAUUGAUCUAAUAUUUUAAUUGCGUGUACGUAACUACCUUAAAUUCAUAUUCAAAGGCAUUGAUCAACCCGUUAAGAAGAUUAAUUAUGUUGCACCAUGAUUUGUUUGACUACUUUAGUUAACUAAGUAUAUUGUCUUCUAGAUUUCCUCUCACUCUAUUUUCUUCUCUCUCUGCGCUAUUCUUUGUGUUCUAAUAAUUUAUCCCUUCUUGUGAAUUUUUUUUCCCUCUUUUUGUGGGACUGAUUUCUUUCACUUUUAUGAGAGUAUUUCAUUAUCAUGGCUUGAGAGGCUUUGCUUUCAGUUAGUAUAAUUGCAUAAUUAAUUUAUUCUAUACAAUAAUGUAAUCAUGCUAUGAUGAUACCAGAUGUUAAUUAUAUCAGAACGUGCUAUUACAUAUAGUAAAAUCAAUUAAUUAAUUAGGUACUUAUAUGAAUUAUUGUGUGAAUCACGCUUCUGCUGCGCUUAAGGUGAAUAUUUUCAAUUGUCUCUCAAUAUAUAUAUGAUGAAUGUGUAGGCGUGCAUAAAGUUUUUUUAACAGACAACUAGAACCAAACUAUAUCCACCAAG
rnacentral:lncRNA from 1 species